UACGGAGGGUGCGAGCGUUAAUCGGAAUUACUGGGCGUAAAGCGCGCGUAGGCGGACUAUUAAGUGAGAGGUGAAAUCCCAUGGCUCAACCAUGGAACUGCCUUUCAUACUGGUAGUCUUGAGUUCGAGAGAGGUGAGUGGAAUUCCAAGUGUAGAGGUGAAAUUCGUAGAUAUUUGGAGGAACACCAGUGGCGAAGGCGGCUCACUGGCUCGAUACUGACGCUGAGGUGCGAAAGUGUGGGGAGCAAAC
rnacentral:rRNA from 1 species